UUUUUUUAUCAAAGGCCCCCAUAAGAUCCCACCCUUGCCAGGAUUUAAAAUUUUGGUAGGGUUUAAAAUUUUGCGGGGACAGUUUUGUAAGAUGUUGAACUUCUGGGUAUGUGGAAUUUUGUGCGGGUUAUUUACAGUAGAAUAAGCUUUUACAGAUCAAUUUUAUGGUGACAGUUUGUACAAUGUUUAACUUCUGGUUCUCAAGAAUUUUGUGAGGUUUAUUUACAGUAGAAGAAGCUUUUGCAGCUGCAAAAGCAGCAGCCGUGGUCAUGGGUUUAUACAAAAGGCUCACCAGGAUCUUCGGUAGCUAUGCCGCCUCUUCGUCAACUGUUUCAGAUCCUUCAAUAACAUUUAAGUCGGACAUGCGCCAGGUCAUAGAGUCUCAGUUGGUUCUGGAAGCCACCGCAGAGCGGCAAAGGAGAAAGCGCAAGCACUUGGUGGACGCUACAAUACACGAACGGAAAUCCAAGAUGCCCGAGACUAUCAAUCUACUGGCAGGUGAUAAACUUAACCUCCACCACCGCAUUCAAAACCUUUGUCGUGCUAACAAGUUGGAUGAAGCUGUGGUUCUCUUGAAACAAUUACAAUACUUUAGAAUAAGGCCAACAAUUUUCACAUAUAAUACUGCGCUAGGGCAACUUCAACGGGCAGGCCAGCAUGCCAAAGUCUUUGCACUUUUUGAUUUCAUGUGUCUAGCUGAUGUCAUACCUAAUUUGGCCACAUAUAACAUUGUCCUUGCGAGCCACUGUGAAUUGCUAGACAUUGAAACUUCCUUUUCCAUUCUUAAGAAGAUCUAUGAUGCUAUGUUUAUGCCAAGUACUGUGACCUUUAACCAUCUGAUGAAGGCGCAUUUUAGGCUUGAGAAAUAUGAGGAUGCAAUGAAGAUUUUCAAGGAGAUGUUAGAAAAGUGUCAUGGGGUUGACCCAACGACCUAUGCAGCAACAAUUGAAGGAUUUGUUAACGGCGGUGCUAUGGACCAGGCAUCAGAGGUGUAUAUAGAAAUGAAGCAGAGGGGUUCAAUUUUCAGCGAACCAGUUUUCUGUAAUUUGAUUAAGGGUUAUUUUGCUGCCGGGAGAGUUCAGGAGGCAUUGGAUGUUUUUGAGUUUAUACCAGAGAAGGUCGAAGAAACUGUGAUGUCGUACAAUGCUGUGAUGGAUGGGUACUGCAAGGAAGGACAGAUGGGAGAGGCGCUAGGGUUUUUGGAGAGGCUUAGGGAGAGGAAUUUGAUUCCAGAUGUGGCAUCGUUUACGAUCUUGAUGACUGGGUACAUCAGGCAGGGAAACUUGCAGGAGGCUGAGAAGCUCAUCAGGUCAAUGCAGGAGAAGGGAUGUUCUCCAACUGCUGUGUUAUAUAACACUCUGAUGGAUGCCUAUUUCUUGCAAAGUAAGCAUGCAGAGGUUCAGAAAGCGGUUGAGGCGAUGUUGGAAAAGCAGUGUGAACCGGAUGAUAAAACAUAUGAAAUGUUGUUUGAUGGAUUUCUUAAAAUGAGCAAGCUAGACGAGUUUUUGAAAUUAUUUAGGAAAAUGACACAAGUUGGCUUUAAGCCAGAAGUUACUAUCUAUAACAAAUUUUUUACUACUUUGUGCAAUGAAGGGAAGUUAGAUGAAGCUAGUAGGCUUUUCCAUGGGAUGGUGGAUGCAGGGCGGAACCCUGAUGUUUGGACUUACAACAUAUUAAGAGAGGGAUUUAGCAGAGAAGGAAGAAAAGGGGAGCUCAAGAAGCUUUUCCAGAACCUUUUAGAAAUGGGCUUUUUGAGUGAAGAUCUUGUGGCUCAGCUCAAAUUGUAGGAAUGGUGGGUUUGCUAAACAUAAAUACUCAAUUCAAUCAUCGAAGAGAAAUCAAAGAUGAGAGGUACUCUGUAGGUUAAUUCCAUACGGUGCAUGUUUUACAAAUAUAACAAUGAAGUGAUGCUCUGGAAUUUAAUUUGCAUGAAGUGUCUAAUGAUCUUCUAGGCUAGAGCAGGUUUAGAAGAGAUGACAAAUUUUACAAUCUGCAGGGGACCUGAUUGAAUAAGUGUAAUGGGAAUUCAACUUGAAGGUUUUGUCACGAACAGUGCACAUAUGGUGUGGAAAACAAAAAAAAGGUAAUUACAGUGUUAGGUUUGUGCUUUGGGAAAAUACUAUAUUUUUAUGGGUUUAGUGUACUACAUUUUAUUUCUAGGUAACAAUAUUUCUGUCUAAAUUACUUUUGCAAAAUAGUUAUCUUAGCACAAUUGGUAUGUCAAAUGGAUGUCUUGCAAAGCGCAAAUUCAUCUUACAUGCUACUCAUUUACUUGCAAUUCUUUGUCCAUGUAUGUACUUUGUAUGGUCCUGUGCACAUCUUUUCUUAUCUAUAGAUUGCAACACAGAGAUAGUAGGGUUUUUCUGGUCAGUUAAUGGCAAUAUCUAUUGCAAAUUAGGUUGUGCAGAUCACUGAUUUUGUAAAUGCUAAAUUGAUGCUGGCAUUGUUUAUCAAAUCAUGACGGAUUAUGCUGUAACAAGGGAAAUAAGAGGUUGGAUGCCUGAAUGCUUGGGUCUCAGAUAGGUGGAUAUCUUGUAAUCUUGAUGGAAGAUUAGGUUCCCUAUUUAGUCAAAUUAUUAUGAAGACAAUUCAUUAUUUUCUGAUAUAUUAUGUAAGGCAGGCAUUACGAUGGCAGAAUAUUUUUCAUUUUGAGCAUCGGGAGUUCACGAGUUUAUUGUAGUCAUUUUCCGUAUAUACUCUAGCACACUUGGUGUGUUAUUUGCAUUCCAGAUUCGACAUGCUCACCAUAUUGGCUGUCAAUAGUUUUGUUGAGGUUGAUUUUGCUUUGAGCAAAUGCUAGUGAUAUUUAUUCAUUCAGAUUA